GUAGGUGGCAAGCGUUGUCCGGAAUUAUUGGGCGUAAAGCGCGCGCAGGCGGUUCUUUAAGUCUGAUGUGAAAGCCCACGGGCUCAACCGUGGAGGGUCAUUGGAAACUGGAGAACUUGAGUACAGAAGAGGAAAGCGGAAUUCACGUGUAGCGGUGAAAUGCGUAGAGAUGUGGAGGAACACCAGUGGCGAAGGCGGCUUUCUGGUCUGUAACUGACGCUGAGGCGCGAAAGCGUGGGGAGCAAACAGGAUUAGAUACCCUGGUAGUCCACGCCGUAAACGAUGAGUGCUAAGUGUUAGGGGGUUUCCGCCCCUUAGUGCUGCAGCUAACGCAUUAAGCACUCCGCCUGGGGAGUACGGCCGCAAAGGCUG
rnacentral:rRNA from 1 species